rnacentral:pre_miRNA from 1 species
UUGAUUUGUCCUAAGUCAAACUUGUUCAACUUUGACAAAAUUUAUAGAAAAUAUAACAACAAUUAUACUAUCCAUCGUAUGCCUAUCAAAACAUAUUCUAUGAUGGAUUCAACCAAACAAUUUUGGUAUUGUAAAUGUUGUAUAUUUUUCUAUAAAUUUGAUUAAAAUGGAUAAGUUUGACUUAGGACAAAUCUAA